ACAGCAUGGGCAGCAGCGGUGCAAGUUUCCCCACGCUGCCCCAUCAGUGUGCCU
rnacentral:sRNA from 1 species